rnacentral:rRNA from 1 species
UUGCACGCCGGCGGCAGGCCUCACCCAUGCAAGUCGCGCGGAUGAAGGGAGCUUGCUCCUGGAUUCAGCGGCGGACGGGUGAGUAAUGCCUAGGAAUCUGCCUGGUAGUGGGGGAUAACGUCCGGAAACGGGCGCUAAUACCGCAUACGUCCUGAGGGAGAAAGUGGGGGAUCUUCGGACCUCACGCUAUCAGAUGAGCCUAGGUCGGAUUAGCUAGUUGGUGGGGUAAAGGCCUACCAAGGCGACGAUCCGUAACUGGUCUGAGAGGAUGAUCAGUCACACUGGAACUGAGACACGGUCCAGACUCCUACGGGAGGCAGCAGUGGGGAAUAUUGGACAAUGGGCGAAAGCCUGAUCCAGCCAUGCCGCGUGUGUGAAGAAGGUCUUCGGAUUGUAAAGCACUUUAAGUUGGGAGGAAGGGCAGUAAGUUAAUACCUUGCUGUUUUGACGUUACCAACAGAAUAAGCACCGGCUAACUUCGUG